CAGUAGUCAUAUGCUUGUCUCAAAGACUAAGCCAUGCAUGUCUAAGUUUAAGCGAUUUAAACGGUGAGACUGCGGACGGCUCAUUAUAUCAGUUAUAGUUUAUUUGAUGGUCGAUUACUACAAGGAUAACCGUAGGAAUUCUAGAGCUAAUACUUGCACUUCAAGGUGAUUUAAUCAUCACCUGCACUUAUUAGAUUUACCACCAAUGCUCUUCGGAGCUUCGGUGAUUCAUAGUAAUUUAGCGGAUCGCUACGACUUCGGUCGCGACGCUUCAUUCAAAUUUCUGCCCUAUCAGCUUUCGAUGGUAGUGUAUUGGACUACCAUGGCUUUGACGGGUAACGGAGAAUUAGGGUUCGAUUCCGGAGAGGGAGCCUGAGAAACGGCUACCACAUCUAAGGAAGGCAGCAGGCGCGCAAAUUACCCAAUCCCAACGCGGGGAGGUAGUGACAAGAAAUAACAACAACUAACCUAUUUCAGGUGAGUUGAUUGGAAUGAGUACAAUCUAAACACCUUAACGACUAUCCAUUGGAGGGCAAGCCUGGUGCCAGCAGCCGCGGUAAUUCCAGCUCCAAUAGCGUAUACUAAUGUUGUUGCAGUUAAAAAGCUCGUAGUCGGAUUUCAGUAGGCUCAGUUUAGUCUUCAUUGUAAGAUCUAUAUGGGCCUGCUUCUUUGACAGAAACUUCUAUGUUAUUCAUUUAGCGUGGGCAGCGACUGUCUCUUUUACUUUGAGAAAAUUAGAGUGUUCAAAGCAGGUAGAUGCCUGAAUAUUACUCUUGGAAUAAUGCUAUAAGACUUUGGUUCUAAUGUAUUGGUGAUUGGGACCAGAGUAAUGA
rnacentral:rRNA from 2 species